UCAAAUUCCCUUUCUCAAAAAGAUGAUUUGAUUUAGGUCUUCAAAAUAACUUAUUUCACUUCAUUACAGCUAUACAGUUGUAGAGACCUACUGAACAACACUGCGCAUAUAGUUAACAAUACUAUACUAAGCACUUAAAAACGUGACGAGCAGCUUUGCGCAGUGGCAGUAUCGUAGCCAAUGAGGUUUAUCCGAGGCGCGAGUAUUGCUAAUUGAAAACUUUUCCCACAUCGGG